UGUGAUAAAAGAAACACCAUGCCCAAAAGAAACUUAGGGAGGAAAGGGUUUAUUUGGCUAGCAUAUCCUGAAUCAUAUAGCCCAUUGAAGUAAGCCAAGGUAAAAACUUAAGAACCUGCAGGCAGCAACUGAUGCAGAGGCCAUGGAGGAACACAGCUUAAGUGGCUUUCUCAGCCUGCUUUCUUAUAGCACCCAUGACCAACAGCCCAGGGAUGGAACCACCCACAAUAGGCUGGGCCCUCCCCCAUCUAUCAUUAAUCAACAAAAUUGCCAACCAGAUCUUACGGAGGCAUUUUCUCAGUUGAGGUUCCCUCCUCUCAGAUGACUACAGUUUCUGUCAAGUUGACAUAAAUCUAUCCAGCACAAUGCAUAGUCAAUUCAGUCAUUUUAUUGGAAUUCCAUUGUGCAAAUACACUGCAACUUAUUGAUUCAACAUUUUCUUUAUUCUUAAGAAUUUCAUACAUGUAUGCAAUGAAAUAUGAUCUUAUCUACCUCCAUACCUUCCUCCAACUAUCCCCCCUUCCAACUUUGUGCCUGUUUUCUCUUGAUAGUCCAGAAGAACAGUGAGUGCUGCCCGUAUGUCCAUGGGUGUGGCGCUAUCCAGUGGAGCACAGGAAUCUUUCCAGUGGUCACAGCCUGAAAAAAGUAUGGUUCUCUCUCCCUUAUCUGUUAUCAACUGCCAAUAGCUUCACAGUAAGGGGUGGGGCCUCGAGAUCAUCUACUCCAUCUAUGCCAGAUUUUGGCUGGCUUGAACUUGUGCAGGGCCACUGCAGAGCUGAGACCCAGAGCUGAGAAGAAAAUCAUUAUGGCUGCUACAACUUGGAAGAAACCAUGAAGCUGGCUCUGAAAGCACAAGAAGACGCAGGCUGGACCCACAUUCUGCUGCUGGAGUGGAAAUAUGACAAGAACAGAACACCGGAAAAAAAGCCCAUCUUCACUGAACUUAGACUUCAGUUUUCCUCCAGUUUCUCUUCCUAUUACUAACACAUGAGAGGCAGCAAACAAGCAAAAGAGUCUGUGAAAAAAAAAGUGCCUUGGAACAAACUUUUUGUACACUAUGAAGAGUGUGGCUGUCUUUGGUUUAAUAAAGAGCUAAAUGGCCAAUAGCUAGGCAGGAAGAGAUUUGGUGGGACUUGCAGGCAGGAAAAAAAGCACAGGGAUGAAAGAGAGCAAGGUCGCCAGGAGAUUUGGAGAGAAAGAAGAUGAACAUUCCAUGUUGAAAAAAGGUACCCAGACACAUGAUAGAGCAUAGGUAAUAAAUAUGGGUUAAGCUCUCACUCAAA